CCCAAACUCCCCUCCAACCCCCUCCUGGGUUCUCAGGUUACCUGCUCAGGUCUCCUCCCUUCCCCCAGGCAGGCCCCCAAACUCCCCUCCAACCCCCUCCUGGGUUCUCAGGUUACCUGCUCAGGUCUCCUCCCUUCCCCCAGGCAGGCCCCCAAACUCCCCUCCAAUCCCCCUCCUGGGUUCUCAGGUUACCUGCUCAGGUCUCCUCCCUUCCCCCAGGCAGGCCCCCAAAC